ensembl:lncRNA
AUGGAGGAGCCUCUGAAGGCUCUUUUUGGGGUAACGGAAGAGAGCCUUCUGAUAUCCCUGGUUGAGGGUCACUCCAACCCCACCUCCUCCAGCUCCUCCGAGUUGAGCUGUGCUAUCGUGGGGGAGGUGGUACACCAGCUUAACUCUGGCCUCUCAGUGGCCAUUCAGGCCAGCCCGGGGAGUUGCCCCCCUAUGGACAGUCAGGACAUAGCAGCAGGCAAGGAGGUCAUUCGGGUAGCCUCGGUUCAGAUCCUGGCCGAGCUACAGAGCCAAACAUCUGAGCCAGAGUGGGUAGGGUUUAUCGAGCCCCUCAUGGACCCUGUGACCGAUGAUGUGCUGGAGGCCAUUGUCGGCACAAUGGACAAAAUGGCACAGGACUUCAACAUCCUAUUGGAUCUGGCCAAGAAGAUGACAAUCUUGGGGUCUAAAUUUCUGACCAAUCUUCAAUGUGACCUAGAUGUUGAGUGUCCAUCUGGGAAGGAAGGGACCACUCACUUUCUCAAAGAGACUGGAUCCUCUACCAGUGUGGUGGCCAGAAAGAUUCAGACCCUCUCUAGCCCCGACUUUCAGUCUAAAGCCCUGAAGGCGGUGAGCACCAUCCUUACAAGGAAAGUCAGCAGCUCUUCUGGCAUGGCUCCUUCCUCUAGGCCUUCUAGUGCUGCUCCUAGCCUUACUGAAGUCCCGCUGAAUACCAGCUGCACAGCCCUGACAUCUGUAACCUCCACUGCCACAGUGAUUGUUAAGGCAUUUGUGGGAGGCAUGGAGACGAUAGCAUCAUUUGAAGACACAUGUGAAGCAGUUGAUUGGCCAGUUCCUGUAAAUGACCACAAAACAGGGUCUUCACAGAAGAUAACCUUCUCUCUAGCCGGUACACUCUAUGGCCGUAUACGAGCAAAGCUGAGGGACCUUUUAACUCUAGCCGCUCGAGAAGAAGGUGUGGCAAAGGAUGCUUCUCUUCGGGAGUCUUCAGACACCCUGGAAAAGGCAACUGUUUCAACUGUUGAGGUCCAGUUACCCAGCACCGAACACAGUAGAGUUCCCAGAGAGAGCCAACCAAUACCAGCUCUCUGUCUCUCCAAUCUGGAUACCAGUACUCAAGAAGUUCUUAGCAGUGUUUUUUCCAUCUACAAGUCAGAGUUAUCAAAAGUGGAGAGUAAAUCCUUGGCCGUUGUCAGUUCAUCUGAUGAGUCCCUAGAGGCUUGUUGGUUUGUUGAUGGUGUCCUAUCAAAGCUCGAUGACUAUACUAUUUCCCAGUCACCCUCACCCAAUGAAGACUUGAGCGUGAGUACUCAAUAUUCUCAACUGAGCUCAGAAGAGAGUGUCAGAAUCACAGAGUCCUCAACUAGUCUGAUUCAGAGCAUUAAGAAGCUCUCUAGCAAUGACUUUCAGAUUCAGGCAGAAGAGGCAGUGAGUAAAGUGCUGAUGAGAUCCAGUCAUUCCUUUAUCACACAGAUCAGCCAUACUGGUCUUCAGAAAAGUCUGCAGGCUGGCUUAUCAUCUAGCUCACCAUCAGAGAUCCAUGUCCUUUCAGAAUCCAUGUCCUCCAUGUCCUCUGAGAAUACAGCCUCUGGAUUAGUGGAAACCUUUGUCAAAGGAAUGGCGACUAUUUUCCAGAAAAAUGAGUCCACUGACUCUGUGCUACUGGAAAGAAGUGGGAGAGUUUCACAGUGCUCCCACGGGGGCUCCCAACUGGAUGAUACUGAAUUGAGUGUUAAAAUAUCAGAGGAGAAGCUUUGGUCAACAGCUAAGAACAUCUGCGUCAGUAUGAAGAACACACUUAAGGAUUUCUUCACAGGGCUGAAGCCAUCCGGAUCCGAAAGGACAGAAAUGGCUUCUUCCAAAGAGACCCUUGGGGAAAUCCUGGUUGCUAUCCAGAGUGAAAUCUCAAACUUCGGGCGAAUGAAGGAUUCCAGGGAGCUCCUUCAGAUCAAUGAUAUGGUAGGAACUAUGCUGAAGGAGAUUGAGAAAAGUGAGGAUGACAGUGAACAAGUCUGCCAAGACAUCCCUCGAACCUGUUCAUCUUUAUCCACUUCUUUAAAUGGUCGUAGUUCCUUGUCCAGCUCUUCAAAGGGUCCUAGGUCAGAGUGUGAGUUAGAGAUCAACCUCCCUGGCACUCCCAUCCCUGACAAAGUGCCUUUUGAUCUGACCUGCCCCAUCGUCAGGAGCUCCUGCAUCGACACCAGGGACAAGAUGAUGGCACACACAGAUGAACCCCUGCAUCGUAACAGUCCAAUGACUGACAGCAGCCGACCACCGAGUGCUAAAGUCUCUUUUCGAUCCUCCACUCCGUCUUUCACCAGCAAGGGAACCUCUUUGGUACCAAAGGGAGAGGGGAUUGACAUUGAAGAGAAGGAGGUGUGUAUCCCCAGCAGCUCUGGCCAUCUGAGGGAGCUCUUAAUCAUCCCGGACAUCAGCAGUGCCACUGCAUUCCCACUCCAGUACUUGAAGGACUCCAGCAAAGAUGAUGGCAUCUGUUUUGUCACCAUACUGGUGAUAAGGUUGCUAUCGGAGAUCAGACCCUCAGCCCUAGAUGGACCCUCCCAACAGGCAGCAGAUCUGACCGAAACAUCUCAGCAACUCAUCAGACAAGUCCUGUCUGAGUUCUGUGCUGCAUCCAGAUUAUCCAGGACACAGGCAUAUUCCCAGAACCUGAACAUCCAAAGGGUGUUCAGAGGUGUACAUAAAAACCUCAUGGAGGAGUUUGGCUCUUAUAACACCCUGCAAGCAGCUAUUUCCUCCCAGGACCCUGCAUUUGACAGAGUCCUGGUAAAGUCCUUGACCCAGCAGCUGGUACAGGGAUGUAAGGAGGCGUCAAGACCAGCUUCUGCUGCAACAAACCCAUCAGACCAGGCUGAGACGGAGAGGGGGGCUGAGCAGAAAGCAAGAAGGAGCUUCCUUUGCUUUUCAAUGACUAAACUCAGGAUCAACUUCAAGGUAUAG